UACGUAGGGUGCAAGCGUUAAUCGGAAUUACUGGGCGUAAAGCGUGCGCAGGCGGUUCUAUAAGCCAGAUGUGAAAUCCCCGGGCUCAACCUGGGAACUGCAUUUGUGACUGUAGAGCUGGAGUACGGUAGAGGGGGAUGGAAUUCCGCGUGUAGCAGUGAAAUGCGUAGAUAUGCGGAGGAACACCGAUGGCGAAGGCAAUCCCCUGGGCCUGCACUGACGCUCAUGCACGAAAGCGUGGGGAGCAAACAGG
rnacentral:rRNA from 1 species